UUAGAAAUUUGAUUUUGGUUUUUGUCGUUUUAAAAUGAUUAUUACCUAUUAUUGGUUUAUUAUAAUAUACAAUGAUUUUUUAUAUUGGCAAUUUUUUAUCUGUUUAAUAAGUGUUCCAGAAUAAUCGGCUAUACAUUUUAGAUUUGAACUUUUGUUAAUUUUUUUAUAAUAAUUUUAUUAAAUUUUUUUUAAUUUGUUUUUUUGUGGAAUAUAAAUAUUUUGUUUAUUUUUUUUAUUAUAUAUAAAUAUUUUUUUUGUUGAAUUGGAUUAGUACCCAAGUAAAUAAUUUUUAUUAAUACGGGAGUAAAUUUAUAUUAAAACCGUAAAAAUAUUGACUGAUUUUUAAUUAUUUUUUGGAACAUGUUUUGGAGAGUUCUCCUUACUAAUUAGUUUUUUAGCACAUGUAUGAUUGUUUAAUUUUUAUAUUUUUUGUUAUGUGUAAAAUUAUUUUUUUUAAAAAUAGAUAUAUACUUGGUUUAUAAUUUUUUUAAAAAAAAAAUUUGUUACUAUAAAUAAUUUUUCGAAUUAAUUUUUGGUGAUUUUAUGAAGUUGGAAAAAAUAGUAAAAAAAGUUUUAUGAUUUUUUGAAAUAAAUUAAAAUGAAUGGUACAAACCAUCCGUCAAUGGUCUAAAGGGGCAUAAGUUGUAGUAUGGUAGAGGUAGGGAAAUCUGUUUCUAAUCAG
rnacentral:ncRNA from 1 species